rnacentral:rRNA from 1 species
GACGGAGGGGGGCUAGCGUUGUUCGGAAUUACUGGGCGUAAAGCGCGCGUAGGCGGCGCAUUAAGUCAGAGGUGAAAGCCCGGGGGCUCAACCCCGGAAUUGCCUUUGAGACUGGUGUGCUUGAGUACGGAAGAGGUGAGUGGAAUUCCCAGGUGAUUAGAGGUGAAAUUCGGUAAGAUAUUGGGAAGAACACCAGUGGGCGAAAGGCGGC